GACUUUUGGUAUAUCAUUGGAAAUGUAAAUGAGCUAAAUACCUAAUAAAAAAUGGAAAAAAAAUGAAGAAGUAGAUGGGCAGAUAGAUCAAUCAAUACAAGCACUGGUUGCUCUUCCAGAGACUCAGUUUCAAUUCCUAAUACCUACAUGGUGACUCACAGCUAUCUAUAACUCCAGAGUGUCGUUGCCAAGUACCAUUUUCUGGCCUCUUAGAGCAUGAAGAUUGCACGUGGUAUGUAUGUACAUAUUCAAGCAAAAUACCCAUAUAUAUAAAAAUAAUAGAAUACUAUUUUUUUAAAGAAGGUAAAUUCUACCUGGAUCUUCCUCAUCUACUCAUGGGACUCCAUUUCUUCUGCCUACUAUGUUUCCUCGACUAAUAUUUCUUUUAAAAAUAAAUUAUGUAUUUUUGACUAAUCUCUUAUAAUUCUACAAUCUUUGUCCUUGACAUUUUCAUCCAAAGCACUACAGAAGGUCGAUAACUUCAACUACCCUGUCUUUGUCUUCAUUUGGCCUCUCCUUUCUUUGGCACAUUUGACAGCAUUCUGCUAUUUCAAACAUUUAUUCGGUUUUAGUUUUAUCUGAUUUUUCUAUAUUCCUAUUUGUCACAUUGUCUCACAAUCAGAUUUUUAGUGUGUUUUUCCAUUUGUUCUUACUUGGAAGUAUUUAGGAACUGUGGUGGUUCCUAAGGGAGGGAUAAUGCCCAGGGAGGGGCAUUAUUAGGAGAUAUAGCCUUGUUGGAGGAAGUGUAUCACUUUGGGUGUGGGCUUUGAGAUUCUCUUUAUAGACAAACAUAUGGGAGCCGGUCUUCUUCCAGCUUCUCCAAACUGCCUUUGGAACAAGAGGUAGAACUCUCAGCUCCUCCAGAGCCAAUCCUGCCUAGACACUUAUAGGCUUCCUGCCAUAAUGACAAUGGACUGAAUCAUUGAACCUGUAAGCAAGUUCCAAUUAAAUGGUGUCCUUUAUAACAACAAUGCUGUCUCUUCAGAGCAAUGAAAACCUAACUAAGAGAGGGAUUUUUCUGGUUUUUGUUUGUUUGGUUUUGGUUUUGGUUUGCCAUUCUUUCCUAAACAUUUCCAAGAAUUCAAGUUAAAAAUUUUAAAGAUGCUGAUGAUACUUUUGUGAGAAUUCUCUAGUGCAACAUAAACUAUUUUGGGUAAACUUUCUGUCUGAAACAAUAAAAUACAAACCUGAAUCUAACUACUGAUUGAAAGAACCAAUAAACACAGUGUCAGGCCAUAACCAGCUGAGGGAGAUGCUAGAUACAAUGUCAACAGGCAAUAGAGAUCACCCUUAUGCUGUGCAUGCUGGCUUUAUUCCUCUCUUCUGCUUUCUUUGGUGAGACUGCUUUUCUUGUUACAGUUUGCAUUUAUUAUACAUCAGUGGUGUAGAUAUUGAAGGCCAAGAGAUAGGCAAUAGUCAGUCUUUCAACAGAAGUUACUCUGCUAAGCCUUUAACAUAUGAACUCAUGUAGCAUUCCCAAUAACUCCAUUUUAUAGAAGGGGUUGAAUACUUAAUGUGACAAAACUACCUUCCCUGAUGUCAAAGGUCUUGUAGGUUGCAGUGCUGACUCUGAAUAUGAGAAUUCUGGCUCUAGAAUACUAGAGGUCAGAAGAUGAUGAGAUAAGACAGUAAUUGUUGUAUUACAAUCAGAUAGAAACUCAAAGAAAUAUUGGAAUCCACAGAAGACUCAGACAGGGAGGUCCUAAUACCUGCUGGGACAGGCCCUCAGAGGUGAUCUGAUUGGGCUGGAACUUAAAAAAAAUUGAGUGUUCUCAUUAAAGGAUUAGAAACCAUCUCUCCAAAGGAAACAAAAAUGUGUGAAUCACAUAGUAAUGAAGGGAUAAGUCAAACCUUUAGCUAAGAAAACGAAGUUUGAGUCACUUGUACUGGAGUAUGAGUUUGUGUUCAUGGCACUAUGAGAUCGCUCAGUGAAAUGCACAGAUAGUAGAUGCCUUUUGUGCCAUCUCAGCUAAAGUACUUGCCUCCCCAAUUUUACCAGCUUCCUUCUUAAUGUCUACUAUGAAGCAGUUGGAUGUGAAAAAAAAAAUGCUUAAGGAAACUCUCGGUUUAAAUAGUCUAUCAUUAAGCCUUGCGUGGUGGCAUAAACUUUAAAUCCAAGCAGAGGCAAAGGUAGGGAGGUCUCUAUAAAACCUACUCCAAUAAGGACAUCUAGGACAUCCAGAGUUAUACAGUGAGGCUAUGCCUCAAAACAAAACAACAAAGAAGUGUCUCAUCUUAAAAUUGUGAACCGAGACUGAGAACACCAGGAGAUGAGUGGAAAUGAUUUAAACUUGAUUCUGUGACUGUUGCUCAAAUCCUCCUUCUCAUAUCAUUUAAAAAUAGUGUUGCUGAGGACAGGGGUCAUCUGUGGCAGGUAUUGUCUUCCAUAACAAAUUUCUAAAAUAGUUAUCAUGGUCACCACGCCAGACAAAGGCCAAUACUUGUACAUUGACCUCACAGCACAGAGUCUAGCAGUGUGGCAGGACAGCAUAAAUAGGCCUCAUAGAAGUACACCUGUGAAUAUAUGAAAUAUUUUUAGAUAAAUAUAGAUGUGGCCAUUUCACUUGAACUCUGUUAACACACUUGUUUGCAGUAUCAAGCCUGCGUUGCUUGCUUGACAGAUCUAUUCUAGCCUGGCUUGUCUUCUGCUAUUGGCCUUUUUUUUUUCUUCAAUCUACUGUUCCUUUUAAAAUAUACUUUGGAAAAUGAUCCAUUAUUUGUCAUUAUUUAUUUUCUAUAUGUUCUUCUUAAAAAUAAUAGAUGGCACUUAAAAAUGUAACUAUGUUUCAGAAAUACCAAAUCUAAUCACUCUAAAAUAAUCAUCCUUAAAACAACCUGGCUAUACUUUCAUCCAUGUUUGUGCAUGUGUGCAAUUUUCUUAUGUGAUUAUAUAAUUCAAUGACACUGUGAUUAGAAUAAUAUAUAGUAUUUUUGUUGUACAUAUAUUUUUUUCAACUUAUUUUCUCCUUUUAUUUACAUGUUUCUUCUCUACUUCCACCAAGGUGAGCCAAUGCAUGUUAUCAAGUGAGACUCUGUCUCAAAUAGAAUAAAGUAAGGGUUUGUAGAGCUGUUUGAAGGUACUUGUCACUCUUCCAGAAGACCUAAGUGUGGCCCCUAAUGCCCACAUUAGGUGACUGACCACCAACUCUAACUCCGGGAGGAUCAUAAAAUUCUGUCCUCUACCAGGACUUACUGCACACACACACACACACACACACACACAAUGUUAAAAAGCGAAACUUUUAAAAGACAAAACCAAAUUACCCAAGUUAUUUCAUAUUAGUGAUAGUCCUCUGGAGGGUGUAAAUUCAAGACUAAACUUGAAUCUUUAGAUUCCAACCAUGGUAUUUUUAGUUUUACAUAAGUCAUAUGAGCCAAUACUAACCUUUCACCAUGUUCUUCAUCUACUUCACAUCCAUCUGUGCUACUGGAAUUAAGGAAUUCAUGGCCUGACUGAUGUUGAUGCUGGAGAACAAACUUUCUCUGCAAUAGCAGCAAGGAGUCUUAACCUAUGAGCCAUCUCUCUAGUCCCUUCUAUGUAAAACAUAUGUAACUGAAACAUUUAGAAUAAUUGAGAAGGAUUCGAGAUAGGAGAGAUGCAUCUCAUGGCAAAUUUAGUGGAUUUAAAUAGAAGGGGAAUGCUGGAAGAGAUGACUGAAACUAGGACCAUUUUAAGGACAGGGUAAAAAUCUAGAACAAUGGAAAUGCCAGGAAUCUAUGACGGUGGCCCUAGCUAAGACCCUUAGUAAUGGGGUUAUGAAACUGGAACAAAUUACCCCCUGUAUCCAUGCAAGUCUUUCCAGUAGAGAGAUUCAGGCACCAAUCCAGCCACAAAAUCUUCAACCUAAAAUUGUGUCCUGUUUGCAAGAUCUUCCCUGAGGUAGAGGAGUUUCAGAACUUGUAGGACCCAACCAAAAAACAACAACAACAACAACAACAAACAAACAAACAAAAAAGACAAAGG
rnacentral:lncRNA from 1 species